UACGUAGGGACCAAGCGUUGUUCGGAUUUACUGGGCGUAAAGGGCGCGUAGGCGGCAAUUCAAGUCAGCUGUGAAAUCUCCGGGCUUAACUCGGAACGGUCAGCUGAUACUGCUUGCUAGAGUGCAGAAGGGGCAAUCGGAAUUCUUGGUGUAGCGGUGAAAUGCGUAGAUAUCAAGAGGAACACCUGAGGUGAAGACGGGUUGCUGGGCUGACACUGACGCUGAGUGCGCGAAAGCUAGGGUAGCAAACGGG
rnacentral:rRNA from 1 species